GACGGAGGGUGCUAGCGUUGUUCGGAAUUACUGGGCGUAAAGGGCGCGUAGGCGGCUGCUCAAGUCGGGUGUGAAAGCCCGGGGCUCAACCCCGGAACGGCACCCGAGACUGGGCGGCUCGAGACCGGGAGAGGAGGGUGGAAUACCCAGUGUAGAGGUGAAAUUCGUAGAUAUUGGGUGGAACACCGGUGGCGAAAGCGGCUCUCUGGCCCGGUUCUGACGCUGAGGCGCGAAAGCGUGGGGAGCGAACAGG
rnacentral:rRNA from 1 species